rnacentral:rRNA from 1 species
GAUUACACAUGCAGUCGAACGGGCAUAGCAAUAUGUCAGUGGCAGACGGGUGAGUAACGCGUGGGAACAUACCUCUUGGUUCGGAACAACACAGGGAAACUUGUGCUAAUACCGGAUAAGCCCUUACGGGGAAAGAUUUAUCGCCGAGAGAUUGGCCCGCGUCUGAUUAGCUAGUUGGUGUGGUAAAGGCGCACCAAGGCGACGAUCAGUAGCUGGUCUGAGAGGAUGAUCAGCCACAUUGGGACUGAGACACGGCCCAAACUCCUACGGGAGGCAGCAGUGGGGAAUAUUGGACAAUGGGCGCAAGCCUGAUCCAGCCAUGCCGCGUGAGUGAUGAAGGCCUUAGGGUUGUAAAGCUCUUUUGUACGGGAAGAUAAUGACGGUACCGUAAGAAUAAGCCCCGGCUAACUUCGUGCCAGCAGCCGCGGUAAUACGAAGGGGGCUAGCGUUGCUCGGAAUCACUGGGCGUAAAGGGUGCGUAGGCGGGUUUUUAAGUCAGAGGUGAAAUCCUGGAGCUCAACUCCAGAACUGCCUUUGAUACUGAAAGUCUUGAGUAUGGGAGAGGUGAGUGGAACUGCGAGUGUAGAGGUGAAAUUCGUAGAUAUUCGCAAGAACACCAGUGGCGAAGGCGGCUCACUGGCCCAUUACUGACGCUGAGGCACGAAAGCGUGGGGAGCAAACAGGAUAA